rnacentral:rRNA from 1 species
AUGACAGAAUCCAAACUGCAGAAUCUCGAGACAGAUGACAUCGAGGGCUUCCUCGAUGCGCCCGCCCUCUCUUCCUCCCUCACAUCGUUGGACUUUACUGGGAACAAAGAGAAGACGUGCUUCACAAAGGAGCAGGAGGAGGCCUUUCAACGUCUCACCUCGCUCCAGGAAUUCCAGUUUUGGUAUUGCCGCAAGCUGCAGCACCUCCCUGCAGGCCUAAACAAGCUGACCAACCUCAAGAGAUUACGGAUCUGGAGUUGUCCAUCCCUUCGGUCGCUGCCCAAGGGCGGCCUCCCGAGUUCACUGCGAGAAUUAAAUGUCAACGAGUGCGACAAUGAGGAGCUAACAAAGCAGUGCAGGCGGUUAAUGGGGACCAUCCCGGAAAUCACACUAUAG